AUUGAACGCUGGCGGCAGGCCUAACACAUGCAAGUCGAGCGGAUGAAGGGAGCUUGCUCCUGGAUUCAGCGGCGGACGGGUGAGUAAUGCCUAGGAAUCUGCCUGGUAGUGGGGGAUAACGUCCGGAAACGGGCGCUAAUACCGCAUACGUCCUGAGGGAGAAAGUGGGGGAUCUUCGGACCUCACGCUAUCAGAUGAGCCUAGGUCGGAUUAGCUAGUUGGUGGGGUAAAGGCCUACCAAGGCGACGAUCCGUAACUGGUCUGAGAGGAUGAUCAGUCACAAUGGAACUGAAGCACGGUCCAGACUCCUACGGGAGGCAGCAGUGGGGAAUAUUGGACAAUGGGCGAAAGCCUGAUCCAGCCAUGCCGCGUGUGUGAAGAAGGUCUUCGGAUUGUAAAGCACUUUAAGUUGGGAGGAAGGGCAGUAAGUUAAUACCUUGCUGUUUUGACGUUACCAACAGAAUAAGCACCGGCUAACUUCGUG
rnacentral:rRNA from 1 species